AGAUACGAUUAAUGAUCCUGAAAAAAAUUGAAAUUUUCGCGCAUCUGAAUGUAAUGUGUCUCGAGUGAAGCGUCAGUGUGUCAUCACUUUUCGACUUUCUCGCAUCAUUGUAUUAACCAGCGAAAAUAUUUGGAAAAUAAAUGUUUUUAAAAUGUUAAAAUCCGUGAAUCGCAAUUAAAAACUGCGUGCUCAAACUACAUCGGUCGGUACAGAAAGCUAUGUCCCCAUAAAACAUUCCUUUGCCCUGGAAUCGCAGAACCGGAGGAGCAGGUGCUUCAAGCAGCGUAAAAACAAUGGCGGAGGUAGCAGUUUAUGGUUGUUCCGGAUGUUACUUCAAUAAUUGUUCCAUUUCAGCCGGAAGAAAAUCGCAGACUAUUAUUUGCAUGCCGGUGCAUAGAACCGGAGGAACAGGCCCUUAAAGAAUUUAGAAGCAUCAGCUUUCUUCCGGACCAUCACUCGCAGCACAGAUUCCAGCUCGGAAGGUUAACGAUUCGGAUUUGGUUUUCGGUUUCUCGUAGAUAGACAAUCGCAACGAUGUCGGACAUCCAGACGUUACAGGACAUGAGUUUACCAAGAGAGAAAAGUCUUCAUAAUCCAUCGCCUUCAUCUGCAAAGUGUGCCAUCGCGAUGUAAACAAACUUGAAUCAUCAAAAAGCGGAAGGAAAUGUUUUAUCGCGGUCUGCUAUGAUUCAAAUAACGGCAAGGCUGGUUCGUGUACAAAGUGUCCUUUUCCUUGGGGAAUGCUUGGCUACGUUUUCUAAUCCGUUGCUUCCGGAACAUCUAGUAUCACAGAGUAAUAGAAAAUUAUCCUCAGCCACCGUUCAUAUACUUUCCAGGAAAGUGGUAGAGGGUGAUGUAUUGGAUCGGGAUCCGCAGUCGGGAUUGAUGGCAGUGGUUUUCACAGUUCAAAUGGUUCAAAUACCAGUGCCACGGAAACCACCAAUCGACAAAAACAUAAGAAUGCGGAUCGACAUCGCUGAAUGCCAACAAUCAACUCAAGGGUGAGGCGCUUCAGUCCUCGGAACCGAAGAUCUUGUUCUGCGAGCUGCGAUUAUCACCAGAGAAAUCCAGACAGUGUAAGGUUAUUUUUUUCCAGAAAUCAAAUUCCACAGUGCAGGCCCUGCGUGUUACAAAACGAGUACUGUAGCGAUGGAACAAUCAUUCUGAACGACUUAUCUAACCAGGACCUACCCUGAAUAACUUUUUCCUGAAGAAUAAAAGCCCCAUCAAAAAUUGAGUAUGGUUUACAGUACAGAGCAUAACCGCCAGAAGAAGACCGCUUUUCCACGUGAUUUCUAACAAACUCGGCGAAGUGGGUGGCAGGAGUAGGAACAUUAGACUCCCAGCUGUGGCACUGUAAAGUGCGUGCACUUUUCGAUAAAUUUGCGACGUGAAGAAAUUACCAAAAUAAAAAAUAAGCGGAAACCCAACUUUACACAGGAAAAAGAUGCACCAAGCAAAGGAAUAAAUAGAUCCGGAUAACACAAAAUCAAUGACGACAUUGCAGACUGAAUUACAGCUCCAGUGGCAAAGUAACGCAUUGUUCUUUCGAUCUUAAAUUAUUUUUCAAUCACGGUUAAAUAUUCUGAUAGGAACGCCUGCUUCCGAAUGUUGCACAUUGCCCGAAAGUUGUCAGUGUGCUCAAGGCUUGCCUCUUAAGUAUGAAUAAAAGACGGAAAGGCAAACCUUGCCAAAACUCCUGAGUACAUCUUUCCGAUGCAACUUCUUCACCGGAAAUUCCGUCUGGAAGUCGGCCCAGUCAGAUGCCAUUAAGUCAUCAUAUAACCUGCUAUUCUCUUUCUUCGAACAUCUCAAUGAUGCGAGUAGAAAAAAAUAUGUACCGAUGCAACAAAAGAGUCGUAUUGAUGAAAGGUGUUUAUGAAUUUCAUACUAAUACAUUUUUGACCACUUUUGUUAUAACAGCAACAGCAAUGUUAAAGAUUAAUUUGUCUUUUUCAUAGGAGCACUUGUAAUUUUUCAUUUAAUAUUUUAAUUAUAUUCAGGAUUAAUUUAUGAUUCAUGUUCAAUUCAUGCUUCGAAGAUAGUUUGGCAAUUAAAUCUGCUAAGUGGUCACAGAAUAAAAGUCGAAUGUUGCAAAAUUGCAAUUUAAAGUUCAUCUUAAAAACACAGAGAAAUUAAAAUACUAGUUCAUGUUUCUAAUUUCUUAAUUAAAAUCCGUAGACAAAAGUAAUAUCCAUAAUAAAAUGAGUUUGAAUUUUGAAUCAGAGUUGAAAAGAAAAAUAAGUAUCAGAAAUCAGAAUUUUUGAAAAUAAAAUAUGAUGUUCAAAAUGCUCAAAAAAUAUAACAAAAUUUAUUGAAAAGAGAGAUCAGAGCCAAAUUGUUGUUUAUCCAUUAUGAAAAUGUGAAAUUAUUGUUUUUUAAAUCAGAUCAAAAAAUUGUGACAUGAAUCUGGAGAAAAAGUUGAUAAACGUGAUGCUCUGAAAUGUAAACCAAAUUUAAAAAUAUUUACUUAUAGUGUUGAAACGAAAAGAUAAGAAUGUAACAA